CAUAACAAACAUAUUAUACAUGACCCGGUAUUUAACGAUCUGAUACAGAAUGUCUCACGGUUAAAUGUCCCACCGUGUCUGUCACUCCUGAGACUGAGCUUUCUGAACUCGGGUUCCUAGAAGAUUUACAAACAUUUGCAAGAAUUCGUAAAUUUGCUUACUUUGCAAACUUGUGAAGUUGAAGGAUUUGCUUGAGACUAUCUCCUUGAUCUCGUUGUUGUUAUUGACAACCAUACACACAUCCAGGUAGCCUGGUGCCAGUCUGUUUGUGCCAUCAUGCCACUCCUUGCCACGUCAGAUAUGUUUGGCAAAUGACAAUGAGUUGACAUGAAAGCACAAACUGAUCUGGGACCAGAUAGUAUUAUUAUUUUAUUUUAUUUAACCUUUAUUUAACUAGGCAAGUCAGUUAAUAACAAAUUCUUCUUCCAAAUUAUUAGGGUUAGAGAGUCUGGUUAUUAGGGUUAGGAGUCUGGUUAUUAGGGUUAGGGUUAGGGAGUCUGGUUAUUAGGGUUAGGGAGUCUGGUUAUUAGGGUUAGAGAGUCUGGUUAUUAGGGUUAGAGAGUCUGGUUAUUAGGGUUAGAGAGUCUGGUUAUUAGGGUUAGGAGUCUGGUUAUUAGGGUUAGAGAGUCUGGUUAUUAGGGUUAGGGUUAGGGAGUCUGGUUAUUAGGGUUAGAGAGUCUGGUUAUUAGGGUUAGAGAGUCUGGUUAUUAGGGUUAGAGAGUCUGGUUAUUAGGGUUAGGGAGUCUGGUUAUUAGGGUUAGGGAGUCUGGUUAUUAGGUUUAGAGAGUCUGGUUAUUAGGGUUAGAGAGUCUGGUUAUAAGGGUUAGAGAGUCUGGUUAUUAGGGUUAGGGAGUCUGGUUAUUAGGGUUAGAGAGUCUGGUUAUUAGGGUUAGAGAGUCUGGUUAUUAGGGUUAGGAGUCUGGUUAUUAGGGUUAGGGUUAGGGAGUCUGGUUAUUAGGGUUAGGGAGUCUGGUUAUUAGGGUUAGGGAAGUCUGGUUAUUAGGGUUAGGAUUAGAGAGUCUGGUUAUUAGGGUUAGAGAGUCUGGUUAUUAGGGAUAGAGAGUCUGGUUAUUAGGGUUAGGAGUCUGGUUAUUAGGGUUAGAGAGUCUGGUUAUUAGGGUUAGAGAGUCUGGUUAUUAGGGUUAGGGUUAGAGAGUCUGGUUAUUAGGGUUAGAGAGUCUGGUUAUUAGGGUUAGGGAGUCUGGUUAUUAGGGUUAGAGAGUCUGG
rnacentral:lncRNA from 1 species